rnacentral:rRNA from 1 species
UAUAAGACUGGGAUAACUUCGGGAAACCGAAGCUAAUACCGGAUAACAUUUGGAACCGCAUGGUUCUAAAGUGAAAGAUGGCUUUGCUAUCACUUAUAGAUGGACCCGCGCCGUAUUAGCUAGUUGGUAAGGUAACGGCUUACCAAGGCGACGAUACGUAGCCGACCUGAGAGGGUGAUCGGCCACACUGGAACUGAGACACGGUCCAGACUCCUACGGGAGGCAGCAGUAGGGAAUCUUCCGCAAUGGGCGAAAGCCUGACGGAGCAACGCCGCGUGAGUGAUGAAGGGUUUCGGCUCGUAAAACUCUGUUAUUAGGGAAGAACAAAUGUGUAAGUAACUGUGCACAUCUUGACGGUACCUAAUCAGAAAGCCACGGCUAACUACGUGCCAGCAGCCGCGGUAAUACGUAGGUGGCAAGCGUUAUCCGGAAUUAUUGGGCGUAAAGCGCGCGUAGGCGGUUUCUUAAGUCUGAUGUGAAAGCCCACGGCUCAACCGUGGAGGGUCAUUGGAAACUGGGAAACUUGAGUGCAGAAGAGGAAAGUGGAAUUCCAUGUGUAGCGGUGAAAUGCGCAGAGAUAUGGAGGAACACCAGUGGCGAAGGCGACUUUCUGGUCUGUAACUGACGCUGAUGUGCGAAAGCGUGGGGAUCAAACAGGAUUAGAUACCCUGGUAGUCCACGCCGUAAACGAUGAGUGCUAAGUGUUAGGGGGUUUCCGCCCCUUAGUGCUGCAGCUAACGCAUUAAGCACUCCGCCUGGGGAGUACGACCGCAAGGUUGAAACUCAAG